UUGUCCGGAAUAAUUGGGCGUAAAGGGCGCGUAGGCGGCUCGGUAAGUCUGGAGUGAAAGUCCUGCUUUUAAGGUGGGAAUUGCUUUGGAUACUGUCGGGCUUGAGUGCAGGAGAGGUUAGUGGAAUUCCCAGUGUAGCGGUGAAAUGCGUAGAGAUUGGGAGGAACACCAGUGGCGAAGGCGACUAACUGGACUGUAACUGACGCUGAGGCGCGAAAGUGUGGGGAGCAAACAGGAUUAGAUACCCUGGUAGUCCACACUGUAAACGAUGAAUGCUAGGUGUAGGGGGUAUCGACCCCUUCUGUGCCGCAGUCAACACAAUAAGCAUUCCGCCUGGGGAGUACGGCCGCAAGGUUGAAACUCAA
rnacentral:rRNA from 1 species